rnacentral:rRNA from 1 species
AUUGAACGCUGGCGGCAGGCUUAACACAUGCAAGUCGAGCGGGGAAGGGUAGCUUGCUACCUGACCUAGCGGCGGACGGGUGAGUAAUGCUUAGGAAUCUGCCUAUUAGUGGGGGACAACAUUCCGAAAGGAAUGCUAAUACCGCAUACGCCCUACGGGGGAAAGCAGGGGAUCUUCGGACCUUGCGCUAAUAGAUGAGCCUAAGUCAGAUUAGCUAGUUGGUGGGGUAAAGGCCUACCAAGGCGACGAUCUGUAGCGGGUCUGAGAGGAUGAUCCGCCACACUGGGACUGAGACACGGCCCAGACUCCUACGGGAGGCAGCAGUGGGGAAUAUUGGACAAUGGGCGAAAGCCUGAUCCAGCCAUGCCGCGUGUGUGAGGAAGGCCUUUUGGUUGUAAAGCACUUUAAGCGAGGAGGAGGCUACUUGGAUUAAUACUCUAGGAUAGUGGACGUUACUUGCAGAAUAAGCACCGGCUAGCUCUGUGCCAGCCGCCGCAGUAACAC